rnacentral:misc_RNA from 1 species
GAUGAAGAACGUAGCGAAAUGCGAUAAGUAGUGUGAAUUGCAGAAUUCAGUGUAUCAUCGAAUCUUUGAACGCACAUUGCGCCCUAUAGUAUUCUGUAGGGCAUGCAUGUUCGAGCGUCAUUUGUACCUUCAAGCUUUGCUUGGUGUUGGGUGUUUGUCCUCUCCCUGGUGUUUGGACUCGCCUUAAAACAAUUGGCAGCCAGUGUUUUGGUAUUGAAGCGCAGCACAAUUUGCGAUUCUGGCCUUAAAAUACUAGCGUCCAUAAGUACAUUCUCACUUUUGACCUCGGAUCAUGUAGGGAUACCCGCUGAACUUAAGCAUAUCAAUAAGCGGAGGA